GGAGGCUGAUUUGGAAAGUCGUUAGCUGGAUGAAGCUCAGCUGGUCAGUCUGAGCUGUGCAGGCUGUAAAAGCUGCAGGAUUAGUUCACCCACUGAUCUGUUCCAGCUGACAAACCCUCAGUUUGUACUUUGAUAUCAUUUAACAAACACCUUCACACACACACACACACACACACACACACACACACACACACACACACACACACACACACACACACACACACACACACACAGACAGACACACAUCUCUGAUACCUCCUGAGUACUGUUCCUCACUGAGCGGAUUCUGAUGCUGUGACAUCUUCUUCUAUUGGGAGACACAGUGUGAAGCCACAACAUCACUGAAGCAUGUGUCACUGACCAGUGCUACAGAUUGAGGAGAAGAUGACUGCAACAGCAGACAAGACUCUACAUCCUCAAGAUGGACAUACGCUGAUUAUUUCCAGUUUGUCAGAGACAAGGAUGGGAAGAACAUUUAUAGCUGAGUGACUUUGUGUGCGAAACCAAAAGAUCUCUACCUUGCGAAAUAGCACAAGUAAUCAAAUGAAACAUCUAGAGCAAUGCCACACUAACGUUAAACUAGUGACCAAAAGAAAGCAAACUGAAGAUGAGAGGAGAGAAAAAAACUAAACGGCAAAAAUAUUUUCCCGUUCUGCGAUGCUUGAACCUUGAGAAGCGAGGAGACGGGUGACAGAGUACGAUUUUAUGGAAAUGCUGCCACUUUUGUCAUUCUGUUAAACACAAUAAACAUUAGCUAUCCCCACAGAGCCAAUAGCCAUAGGUCUAGCUAUCAACUACAUUGUUCAGAUUUCGAUAUUUGUAACAGAUUUUCUGUUUAGACUUGAUUUCUCUACUUUCAUUUUUUCCUACAACGGAUAUUUCAUUGAGUAGGUGGUGCAAUAGGUUAGUUCCCCAGAACAUUAAGCAGGCUAUAAGUCCAUCUUACCAGCCUUGUUUGGCUGCAUGCUACUGUUUGUAUACUUGUACGAACUCUGAAAUGAUUGAACUGUGUUUCCAGUUGGGGCAUUUCAGUUCCAUUUUUUGUCAUCUUGAAAUGUGGCUGGGUAACUUCAUGUAGUUAAUUGUCUAGCUGUAAGUGGGGUUUACUUUGUUUGGCCUAUGUUUUUUUAGUUUUGUUUUUUUUCUCCCAGGCCGGUUUUAUUUUAUCCCUUCAGACCAAGGACUUAUCUUUUUUUAUUUUUGAUGAGGCAUAAACUAUGUUUCAUUAUGUUGUGAAUUUGAAUUAAAGAGA